GUGCACAUUUCAUUGUCUUUUUUUUUUUUUAUGUCAAGAGAAAAGAUAUUUCUGAUAUGCUAAAUAAACCUUUGGAGGUAAAUUAGCAGCAUGACUAAUUUAGCCAUUGCUGUCAGUCGCCUUCAGACAACA
ensembl:snoRNA small nucleolar RNA SNORA19